rnacentral:rRNA from 1 species
UAGGGAAUAUUGGGCAAUGGUCGCAGACUGACCCAGCCAUGCCGCGUGCAGGAAGACGGCCCUCUGGGUUGUAAACUGCUUUUAUCUGGGAAGAAAAAGUCCAUGCGUGGAAAAUUGCCGGUACCAGAUGAAUAAGCACCGGCUAACUCCGUGCCAGCAGCCGCGGUAAUACGGAGGGUGCAAGCGUUGUCCGGAUUUAUUGGGUUUAAAGGGUGCGUAGGCGGCUCAAUAAGUCAGCGGUGAAAGACUUCGGCUUAACCGGAGCAGUGCCGUUGAUACUGUUUAGCUUUAGUGUUGGAGGGGUACAUGGAAUUGAUGGUGUAGCGGUGAAAUGCAUAGAUACCAUCAGGAACACCGAUAGCGAAGGCAUUGUACUGGCCAACAACUGACGCUCAGGCACGAAAGUCUGGGGGAUCGAACAGGAUUAAAUACCCUGGUAGUCCACACCGUAAACGAUGAUUACUCGCUGUUAUGGUGUAUGCUGUAGCGGCCAAGCGAAACUGUAAGUAAUCCACCUGGGGAGUACGCCGGCAACGGUG